rnacentral:rRNA from 1 species
AUUGAACGCUGGCGGCAGGCCUAACACAUGCAAGUCGAACGAGUGGCGGACGGGUGAGUAAUGUCUGGGCAACUGCCUGAUGGCGGGGGAUAACUACUGGAAACGGUAGAUAAUACCGCAUACCAUCAGAUGUGCCCAGAUGGGAUUAGCUAGUUGGUGGGGUAACGGCUCACCAAGGCGACGAUCCCUAGCUGGUCUGAGAGGAUGACCAGCCACACUGGAACUGAGCCACGGUCCAGACGCCUACGGGAGGCAGCAGUGGGGAAUAUUGGACAAUGGACGCAAGCCUGAUGCAGCCAUGCCGCGUGUAUGAAGAAGGCCUGCGGGUUGUAAAGUACUUUCAGCGGGGAGGCGGUACCCGCCGAAGAAGCACCGGCUAACUCCGUGCCAGCAGCCGCGGUAAUUC